UCGGGGGGUGUGUGUGUGUGUAUGAGAGGGGAAGAGCAAGAGCUAGCCCAUGAAAGGUUUUGUUUACAGUUUUUGCCUUUGACCUUAUAAGAUUACCUUGCAGUUUGUAUUCCAGGAUCCUGAGUAUGGCAGACACUCAGUGAAUAGAAAAUGGAUACUGUUUCCGAGUAAUUUUGUGAAAGAUUUUUAUUUUUGCCUUAAUGAGCUCUAUCUGAAUUAAAUUUUCAGGUGUAUUAUGAACAUUUACCCUUUAUAAAGGACCAUAAACAUUAUGUUCCUUAAUAUAUUGCAAGUUCCACGCAUUAAUGUGAGCUCCGUAUUUGCAGAGGCCUGCAGGAAGCUGUAACUGGUACCAGGAAGGAAGACAGCACAGGGGCAAACAUAGCAAGCUGGAAAAUAUUUACCUCCUUCUCAACUGACCGACAGAGCAGAGGUGGCCUAUGAUUUACAAUGCUUUUCAGUGAGCCAAAUUAUAAGCCAAGCAACCAUCUUCCUGUCUCAAGUCACUAAUAGGGAAUACUUCUACUCUGUAUGAUACCAACCUGGGGACCCAAGAGAUGGCUGUUGACUGUAAGAAGCCCAUAUUUAAUGCCAUGUGAGUGACAGGAAGCCGGGUCUGGAGUCCCAAGGACCUUUCGGCUCUGCUGCUCCUACGCUGGGUCGCCGUGCACAAAUAACUUACCUUCUUCCAACAUCCUCUUCUUCGUCUGUUUGAGGGUCAUAUGCCUACUUGACAGUUUUGCUCUGACAACCAAAUGAGCUAAUGGCUGGAAAAGCACCUGAACACUGUAAGAUUCUUUCCACGUGUCAGGAUCCUUGUUGUGUUUGUAAAAUGCAGUUCCUUCGACUUAGGUAUUUCACUGAUGGUUGUCUUGGAGUGCACUCUGCCAUAAGGACUCAUUGAUUUACCAUUCUGCAUAGCUUCCAUCCAAGAUGGGUGAUGAAGGGAUGAUAGGAUGAUGGUUUUAAAAAAUCAUUGUAGUAGUUAUCUUGAUAUUAUAGAGCUGCUGAAGAAGCUUGGGCUAGGAUGGAGUUCCCAACCUGCACAAAAAGUUGUAUGCAUGUGAACUCUUUCCUAGGGAGAAGGAGCAUGGAUUUCAUCAGAUUUGCAAAUAAGACUGGUAGACAAGCACCCUAGUAGCCAAGCACCCCUAGUCUCGGCAGAAAGGACUCUGUCCGGAAACCCAGAGACGGACUCUGCCUCCAACUUGCUGGCGACUUUAAGGCUGUCCCUUGGCCUCUAUCUGCCCCAGCUCCUUAUCUGUAAAAUGGGUGUGGCACAGUCUUCCAGUGGCUGAGUUCCUACUGAGGGGCAGGCUCUGGCCAGACAGGAAGCUUCCACACCCAGCCUUCUUGCUUCCAGAGUAAGCGAAGAGCUCUUCUUCUCUCAACUUGUGUCCAUGAGUUGCGCCCAACUGACCACAGCACCCCAAAGUGCCCAGGCAUGCAGCCUCAUUUCAGCUCCUUUUGCUCUGCAGUUAAAGAGCAUCGCGGCCCAGUUGCUGUGCUUGGACCCAGGGAGUCUGCUUCCCUGUAAACUGCCGGGCUGUGAGGCCCGCCUACGCUGGCAGCCAGAGGCCUGACAGGGACCUGUGAAAUCUCAGCAUCGCCCAGGAAGAUGCAGUGAAAAUCCAGCUGUUGAGCGGGGAAACGUCAGUGAGCCACAUGUUUUCUUGCCCUGGCUGCUGUGAGACAGUGGGUGGUGACUGGAAGUCAGAUCUGGUGGUUGGAUUUGGCCAUGGGUGUCUCAGAUCUCCGCAGAACCUGGGGCAGUGGUCAGUGCUGGGUGAGCAACAGGCAGGCCCCAUAUCACAUUACAGACCUUAGAGAGUUUCCAUUCCACAGCGCGUACUGGCAGCCCUUGGGCCAGAUUUGGCCCACAAAUGUAUCAUGUUUGGCUUACAUUUAAUUUUUUUAUAAUUGUGAAUGAGCUCUGUGCCACUGAGCUGGAUACUUAAAAAUGGUUAAGAAGGUACGUUUCUCUAAAACUCUAAAACGUAUCUUCUUAAUCAUUUUUAAGUAUCCAUUUCAGUGGCACAGAGUGCAUUCACAUUGUGGUGCAACCAUCACCAUCAUCCAUCUCCAGAACCUUUUCAUCUUGCAAAAUUAGAAACACCUUAUUCAUGAAAGAUUCACUCCUCAUUUCCCUGUCCCACAGCUGCUGGCACCCACCCUUCUACUUUCUAUCUCUAUGAAUUUGACCACUCUAGGACCUCAUGUGAGUGGAAUCAUACGGUCUUUGUCCUUUCAUGACUAGUUUAUAUCACUUAGCACAAUGUUUUCAAGGUUCAUGUGGCAGCAUGUGUCAGAGUUUCCUUCCUUUUUAAGGCUGAAUAAUAUUCCAAUGUGUGGAUGUACCACAUUUUGUUUAUCAUUCACGCAUUGAGGGACCUUUGGGUGGCUUCCACCUUUUUGGCUACUGUGAGUAUUGCUCCUAUGAACACAGGUGUACAAAUGCCUAUGUUGCAUUUUUUAAUAUUGGAGUUAGCAAGUGACAUUUAAAAACCAAGAGAUUUCAUAUACAAAUCUGGAUUUCUGGCUUCUCUUGGAAAAUCAGUAUGUCUGACAGCAUCGGGCUUCCAUCUUCCUGGCCACAGACAGAGGUGAAUGAAGCCAGCUCGCUCCCUCCCCCACUGAGAGGCACCCCACUCAGUGGACUGCAGGGCCCCCACUCCUUUCUCCUCCACUCACUGCAAAAGCUGCCUUGUUUCCACAGGCUAUGGCUUGGUGACAUCUCGUCUGCUCAGCACCCUCAUGUUAUGGGUGAAAAUGCAGAGGCCCAGGGAGGAAGGGUGGCUGGGGCCCGAGGUCUCACAGGCCAGGAAGUGAUACAACUGCUGAAAUGCAGAAAGGGCCUGCAACUGGGCAUUGCAAAGCCUUGAUUCUACUUCCAGAUCUGCCACCUGCUUGUCCCAGGUCCCUGGGACAAAGCCCUUAAACUUUCUGAACCUAAAUUUCCUCUUUGGAGGAAAAUGGGAGAAAUGGCACCUUCUAUUGCUGCCUCGUGAAGUAUUGUGAAGACAGAAGGAGAUGCUGUGCAUUGACCAUUGAAUGCAGCUGGGAUGGGAAGGGGUGUUACUAAAAGCACAGGCCAUGUCAGGCAACCUAGCGUCUGGGGGUCUGUUUUCUCAUUUGCAAGACAGGAAAAGGGGCCACACCUUUCCCCACUGGGCCAUUACAAGGAUUAACUGAGGCAGGGAAAGAAAAGAAAAGCAUCCGGCAGAGGGCUUGGCACCCAGCAGAUGCUUCACAAAUGCUACUUCUUAACAAGUAAGGUCACGUCCAAGGGUUCCAAAUCCUCUUCCUGCAGUACACAACCCAGGAAGAGAUGUAACAUCAUGGGAACAACCAGCUUCAGAGUCUAUUGGCCUGAUUUCAAAACCUAAGCUUGACGCAUUAGCCACUGAGGGCACUGGGCAGGUGAGCCCAUCUCUCUGAUCUGCAAACUCUUCCAUUGUUUAGUGGGGAAAAUAUCACUGUCCUUGACAGCACAGGGGGAAAUGAGAAAUGGAAGGUGCUUUGCACGUAGUAGACAUUCAAUAAAGUCUAAUUCCUUUCCUUGCCUUCCCCAGCAGAGAUCUGUUUUCUAGGUUAAAAAGAUGGCAUAUUUUCCAAAUAUCUUCAAAAAAGGGAACAAGGAAAAGUGUGGUUUCCAGCUUCCCACUGAGGUUUGUCAGUCACAAGGUUUCAUUCACUCAUUCAAGGAAUAAGCACUGAUUGAGCACCACUAAGCGCCAGGCACCACAAUAGGCCCUGGGGUUCUGGGAGAGAACAGAGUAGGCCAAAUUGCUGCCCUGGUGGGUGGGCUUCCGCGUAAGUCUGCUCAGUCGCUCCAUGAGUACUCAUUAAGGGCCUCUUCUGAGCUGCCUUUCCAAGGGCCUUGGCUUUACCUGGAAGGCUCAUCUGUUGCUGUCUGUGUGAUUCCUGCAUAUCUGGACCUCACCCACUUCUCUGGCGGUACCAGAGAAUAUACCUGUCUUGGGCCCCAGACCUUUAGACAGCAUGGUGAUCCUGCCCGCCUGUGCUGUUUCGGUUAUCCCCUCAGUCAUUUCCAGGGUCCCUGGGCAAGGCCAAUGGAGCACUCCUGGGGUGAACAGUCCAUCCCACUGCACACAGGACACCCUGUGGGCCAGGUGUGGGCCCCGGAGAGCCUUGCCUCUUAGUUUACCUUUACGCUUUGAAUGAAAUGGGAAUAUGGAUGGAAAGCCCUUUGUAAACUCUUAAGAUCUACAUGUAUAUACAGGAUUGGUGUUAUUUGACUUUCUUCUAGAGAGAUGACAGAGACCACCCGGUGUAGGAGAAACAGGUUAGGGUUUAAGACCAGAAUAGCUAGGCUGCAAUCUGGGUUCUGCAACUUGUUGGCUCCGAGACUAGGGAAAGUGGCCUCCCCUCCCCAGUUUACUUGCUGGGCAAAUGGAGAUAAUAAGAUACCCACCUCGGCACCUACUGUGCGCAAUAAUGGAAAAACUGGAUGGGAAGGCAUUUUGCAGAAUUACAUGUUGUGCGUAUACUUUACUCGUGUCAUUAAUUUAAUGCACAUUUAUUAUACACCUACUGUGUGCCAUUAUGAACAAGGUGAUCUGUCAUAUGACAAUUUGGAAGAAAGUCCACAGGCUAAGGAAGAGAAGAAAUACUUGUCAGAUGGUUGUACUGCACAUUCAUAGAUUAUGAUUAGCAACAGCCAGCUAGUUGGCAUAGCAACGUUUCCCCAUGAACUGCUAGGCACUGUUCUUAAAAUAGGUAUGUCGGAGGUGUGGCGGCAGUGGGGACACGCUGAGGUAGUGUGGUUUGAUCGCUCUGCAGACCAACAUGGGCUGUGUGCUCAGAGUGGCCCUGCCAUUGCCCUUCCCAGGCAAGCUGGCAGGGCAGUGAUUAAGGUGACAGAUCCGGAAACAUCCAUUGUUGGAGCUGGAGACAGCCUCAGACUUCAUCUAGUGUAAGCAUCCUUCUCCUCCCCAUUUUACAGGCGAGGAAACUGAUUCCCAGAUGAGGUUAACUGACAUCUGCGGGCCAGUGACAAAGCCACUUGACUGCAAAUGGGACUGAACGUGGUUCGGAUGUCAUUAUGCAGUGUUCUCCAACCGUGCCAUGGGGCAGGCUCUUCUGAUUCAGAAUUUUAGGUCUUGGUCUGAUGCACUUAGUCUUCUACUGGGUUGCAAUCUAUAUGGCAUCAUCUAGCAAUAGAUGUUAGUUUAAGGAAUUCUUUCAUUUUGUGUGGAAUUCAUGCCUGCAUUUCACCCUGGGGAAGCCCUGAAUCCCAGGGUAUCUUGGAAACUCACCUACUUUUUGGCUAGACUUACAUGAUUGAUCUUUAAAUCCACCCUCCCAUAGCCUUCCUUACCUAGUUUCUCGGUGUGAAAUCAAGCACCAAAGCUGGUCAAAGGUUUUUGAAUUGCUUUGGAAUGAGAUUAUUAUAUGAGUUUAGUUACCCAUCAUUGGAGAGAACAGGGAACGCAAGUCCUUUUACAGCUGGGGUCCUUUCUAUUUGUUUUACUCAGCAAUUUAUUGAGUAAACUUUUAUAAACUUGAGAGGGGCUUUUCAUCUUCAGGCUGGUGAACUUCUUUUAAGAGAUUCACAGCUCCCCUUUGGUUCCAGGGUGAAAUUCUAGGUCUGAAACGUGGAACCUUCUGAGAACUCAGCCAACUUCUGAGAAUAGGGUGCGAGACAUUUCUGACAUAUUUUAGACACAACCUGUUUUUCUCUGUUGAGACAGUGUCAUGUGGUCGGAAGGGCUCUGGGCUGGGAGUCCAGGCAGGGUAAGAGGGGCUGCAGCCCUGCCACUUACCCCCUCCAGGUCAUUUGAAGGAUGUAAAGACCGCAUUCUGUACUGAUGAUUCUUCACCCUGGUUGCAUGUUGGACUCACCUGCAGAGCUUUUUAAAACACUGAUGCCCAAGCCUCUCUCCAGGCCACUGAAAUCAAGUUGUAUUGGGUGGGGCCCUGGGCAGAGAUCUAUUUGAAAAGCUCCCCAGUGAUUCUAAUGGGCAGCUGGGGGAGAACCAUGGGAAUACAGUCACAUAGUCUCUUUCCACUCCCCCAUUCCCUGUGCUAUUUAAGUUCUAAAAUGCUAUUGUGGGUUUCUUCUGUGUUAGACUCAUAUUUAUUUAUGCUCCUAGCUAGGAAAGAAAUGUGUCCUCAGAGUCUACAGGAGGAAACUUCUCAUCUCUGGAGUAUUUUUGACCAUGAGUUGGCUUUGUAACUCUACCCUCAGAGGGCCUUUUAAACAGCUGGUGGUUCUUACAGAAAUGAAAUGCAUGAUGUGUUACUGCUUUGAGCUCCGCUGUGGCAGAGCCUGGAGCUGAGCUCUUGGUGACUGGUCACUGCACAAUUCCAUGAAAGUUCAGAUAAUAUAAUUGGGUGGUAAAUGACACACUAAAUGAAUCUCUUGGGUGCAGUUGUUUGCAUCCUAAACUCCAGAAUAUGCAGAAAGAGAUAUUCUGUGAUAGAUAUAUCUGCCAGUUGGGUAAGCAAACAAAAGUAGAUUUGUCUUUGGCAUGUGCACCAAUGGCAAACUGCAUUCCUACCUAGCUUUGAAAUAAAUUAUUGGAAGUUCUCUGGUGCCUUAAGGUGGUGUAGAAGGAAAAGAUCCCUGGGGUUUGUUAAUGUGUUUAGUCCUCUUCUCUGUGUUAUGGGAAUUUCUAAAAACAGAUAAUUUGUACGUUGGACCUAAAACUGCUUUCAAGAACUCAGUAGACUUGGGAUUGAAGGAUUGGGUUUUCUCUUUCCCAUGUGAACUUCCCUAAAUCCUACUCUGGCUUCAGAAAGCACAGCUCCUAUACAAGUCUGACUUCUGCAUUUUUAGUGUAAAUGUAAUGUAUUGAGUAAUGGAAAGACUAAUGGAAGAAUUGAUAGCUCAAAAAUGAGUUUUUUCCAACACCAUUUUUUUUUUUGUCUCUGAAAACACCAGCAGGCUGUGUCCAAGCAUGGGCUGAUGAUCUUUAUGUGAUGAUAGAACAAGGGAAGAGAGAGACAAAUUAAUGGGAUUGUUAAAAAUGGCUGAAAACUUGAUAUCAACUUUGAGUCAGUAUUUUCUUUUUAAAGUAGUAUAAUACAAUAUUUGUAAAUAGGACAUUGAAAGUGAUGGGGGAAAUAAAUGUCUAUGCAGUGACGUUAUAACCAUUAAUUCUUUAGUGGACAAGGACAAGGUCUGCACCUAACAGCAGUAGGAGAGUGAGUUUUGGGGCCAGACACGCGACGGCUCUGCCACCGACUAACUGCGCAAGCUUGGACAGGGUACCUACCUCUCUUAACCUCAAAGUCCUCCAUGGAAACAGUGGGUAAGGUGUGAAGAUUAAAGAAAUAGCACGUUUCUUAAAGCACUCAGCAUGUCAGUGGAUGUUGGGAGCCUUCCCUCACCCCUUUGAAAAUGGGCUCUGCACAAACACAUUUUGGUGGGAGGCUGGGGCCUAUCCUACCAACCUGAGUUGGGGGAAUAAGAUGAUCUCUUCCACAGUUCAGGUUUGCACAACCCGCUUUUGCAGGUAAGGCAGGGAAGAGGCAUGAGUGUCAUUGGCAGAGCGAUAAGCGAGGCUGGCAAGUUCACUUUGGUAGAACCUCUGUGGACUCCUUAGUUCUUCCAGGUUGAAUCCUGGGCAGAAAUCACAUGAAAGCUGUGAAGCACAGACAUCAGUUUAGAAAUUGUGUACUUUCCCGCUGAAUCCCAAAUGCACAAUAACUGUACACCUUGCGGUUGCAUGAAUCUACAAGGUCUCCUAUGCGCCCUCAUUCAUAAACUCAAGGCUGAGAAUGUUGGCAGGCCAAGUCCUGCCCCUCCCCGGAGUGAGCUGCCUUGGUUCACAUGGGAGUGGUCCAGCGACAGGACCCGACACCUCCCCUCCGGAAGCUCUUCAGCGGGACCUGCCUCGGGUCCUGGGGCAGCUAUCCUCCGGGGCCUGCCUGCAGUGAAACCAUCAGUCCGUGGAGAUGUUCACUGGAUUCCUGACCAGUUGUGGGUCGGGCUCAACCCUCCCUCUGGGUUUUCAGGAUUUGUAAUGAUCGCUCCAUUUGUGUAAAAUAGGCCGGCAUUUUCUCUUGUUACUGAGAUGUAUUUUUCUAUGUGAGUUAAAUGUAUUAUUUGUGUAAUUUUGUACAUUAAAAUGUAUGCUUUUUCACAAUUAAAGGGUUUUUUUCCCUUUUGAAUGUUUUAUUUAUUGAUGGUUUGUUACAAAGUGUUGUCGACCCUGACGUAACAGAAAAAGGCAAUGGAGCUAGGAUUCCCUUGAUUUUUGGUGGGGAAUAAAUGCUUUUCUUGGUACUCAAA